CCUACGGGCGGCAGCAGUGGGGAAUAUUGGACAAUGGGGGGAACCCUGAUCCAGCCAUGCCGCGUGUGUGAAGAAGGCCCUCGGGUUGUAAAGCACUUUCAGUGAGGAAGAACGCCUGGUGGUUAAUACCCAUCAGGAAAGACAUCACUCACAGAAGAAGCACCGGCUAACUCCGUGCCAGCAGCCGCGGUAAUACGGAGGGUGCGAGCGUUAAUCGGAAUUACUGGGCGUAAAGCGCGCGUAGGUGGCUUGAUAAGCCGGUUGUGAAAGCCCCGGGCUCAACCUGGGAACGGCAUACGGAACUGUCAAGCUAGAGUGCAGGAGAGGAAGGUAGAAUUCCCGGUGUAGCGGUGAAAUGCGUAGAGAUCGGGAGGAAUACCAGUGGCGAAGGCGGCCUUCUGGACUGACACUGACACUGAGGUGCGAAAGCGUGGGUAGCAAACAGGAUUAGAUACCCGAGUAGUC
rnacentral:rRNA from 1 species